rnacentral:rRNA from 2 species
UGAUGGGAGCUUGCUCCCUGAUAUCAGCGGCGGACGGGUGAGUAACACGUGGGUAACCUGCCUGUAAGACUGGGAUAACUCCGGGAAACCGGGGCUAAUACCGGAUAACUCAUUUCCUCGCAUGAGGAAAUGUUGAAAGGUGGCUUUUAGCUACCACUUACAGAUGGACCCGCGGCGCAUUAGCUAGUUGGUGAGGUAACGGCUCACCAAGGCGACGAUGCGUAGCCGACCUGAGAGGGUGAUCGGCCACACUGGGACUGAGACACGGCCCAGACUCCUACGGGAGGCAGCAGUAGGGAAUCUUCCGCAAUGGACGAAAGUCUGACGGAGCAACGCCGCGUGAGUGAUGAAGGUUUUCGGAUCGUAAAGCUCUGUUGUUAGGGAAGAACAAGUGCCGUUCGAAUAGGGCGGCACCUUGACGGUACCUAACCAGAAAGCCACGGCUAACUACGUGCCAGCAGCCGCGGUAAUACGUAGGUGGCAAGCGUUGUCCGGAAUUAUUGGGCGUAAAGCGCGCGCAGGUGGUUUCUUAAGUCUGAUGUGAAAGCCCACGGCUCAACCGUGGAGGGUCAUUGGAAACUGGGGAACUUGAGUGCAGAAGAGGAAAGUGGAAUUCCAAGUGUAGCGGUGAAAUGCGUAGAUAUUUGGAGGAACACCAGUGGCGAAGGCGACUUUCUGG